rnacentral:rRNA from 1 species
GUCGAGAAUCUUUCACAAUGGGGGCAACCCUGAUGGAGCGACGCCGCGUGGAGGAUAAGGUCUUCGGAUUGUAAACUCCUGUCAUGCGUGAACAAGGUUGCUUGGUUAAUACCUGGGCAAAUUGAUGGUAACGCAAGAGGAAGAGACGGCUAACUCUGUGCCAGCAGCCGCGGUAAUACAGAGGUCUCAAGCGUUGUUCGGAAUCACUGGGCGUAAAGGGUGCGUAGGGGGCGUGGUAAGUCAGAUGUGAAAGCCCGGGGCUCAACCUCGGAACUGCAUCCGAUACUGCCAUGCUAGAGUACUGGAGAGGUGACUAGAAUUCUCGGUGUAGCAGUGAAAUGCGUAGAUAUCGAGAGGAAUACCAAAGGCGUAGGCAGGUCACUGGACAGUUACUGACACUGAGGCACGAAGGCCAGGGGAGCGAACGGGAUUAGAAACCCGGGUAGUCC